rnacentral:rRNA from 1 species
GUCGAACGGCAGCACGGGGGCAACCCUGGUGGCGAGUGGCGAACGGGUGAGUAAUACAUCGGAACGUGCCCAGUCGUGGGGGAUAACGUAGCGAAAGUUACGCUAAUACCGCAUACGAUCUACGGAUGAAAGCGGGGGAUCGCAAGACCUCGCGCGAUUGGAGCGGCCGAUGUCAGAUUAGGUAGUUGGUGGGGUAAAGGCUCACCAAGCCGACGAUCUGUAGCUGGUCUGAGAGGACGACCAGCCACACUGGGACUGAGACACGGCCCAGACUCCUACGGGAGGCAGCAGUGGGGAAUUUUGGACAAUGGGCGCAAGCCUGAUCCAGCCAUUCCGCGUGCAGGAUGAAGGCCCUCGGGUUGUAAACUGCUUUUGUACGGAACGAAACGGCGCUCUCUAAUACAGGGCGCUAAUGACGGUACCGUAAGAAUAAGCACCGGCUAACUACGUGCCAGCAGCCGCGGUAAUACGUAGGGUACAAGCGUUAAUCGGAAUUACUGGGCGUAAAGCGUGCGCAGGCGGUCUUGUAAGACAGAUGUGAAAUCCCCGGGCUCAACCUGGGAACUGCAUUUGUGACUGCAAGGCUAGAGUACGGUAGAGGGGGAUGGAAUUCCGCGUGUAGCAGUGAAAUGCGUAGAUAUGCGGAGGAACACCGAUGGCGAAGGCAAUCCCCUGGACCUGUACUGACGCUCAUGCACGAAAGCGUGGGAGCAAACAGGAUUAGAUACCCUGGUAGUCCACGCCCUAACGAUGUCACUGGUUGUUGGGUCUUCACUGACUCAGUAACGAAGCUAACGCGUGAAGUUGACCGCCUGGGGAGUACGGCCGCAGGUUGAAACUCAAAGGAAUUGACGGGGACCCG